rnacentral:rRNA from 1 species
CACGUAUAAGACUAGUGUUAUUCAUCUUUAAUAGGUUUAAAGGGUACCUAGACGGUAAAUAAAGCCUACGAUAAAGGUACUCAUUUACUAGAGUUUUAUGUGAGAAGGGAGAACUUUUAGAGUAAAGAUGAAAUUUUUUGAUACUAAAGGGUUACAGGUAAAGGCGAAGGCAACCUUCUAAGUAAAAACUGACGUUGAGGGACGAAGGCUUGGGUAACGAAUAGG